rnacentral:rRNA from 1 species
AGCGAACGCUGGCGGCAGGCCUAACACAUGCAAGUCGAACGGCAACACCGUAAGUGCUUGCUGUUACGGGUGGCGCGUGGGGGAAGGGUGACGUAUAUACCGGACUCUACUUUUUCGUGGGGGAUAAUGUAGGGAAAGCUACGCUAGUACAGGAUAUGACGUAGCAGGGUAAGCAGGGGAUCUUUUCGGCUUUUGGGGUUGUAUUAGCCGAUGACGGAUUAGCUAGUUGGCGGGGUAAUGGGCAAGGUAGGCGACGAUCGGUAGCUGGUCUGAGGGGAUGGUCAGCCACACUGGAAGUGAGACACGGUCCAUACUCCUGCGAGAGGCAGCAGUGGGGAAUCUUAGGCAAUGGGGGCGAGCCUGAUCCAGCGAUACGGCGUGGGUGAAGAAGGCGCUCGGUGUGGAAAGCCCUUUUGUUGGGAGAGAAAAGCAGCAGGUUAAGACGCCGCGGUACUGACGGUACCCGGAGAAGAAGCACCGGCUAACUUCGUG